CCUACGGGAGGCAGCAGUGGGGAAUAUUGGACAAUGGGGGAAACCCUGAUGCAGCGACGCCGCGUGAGUGAAGAAGUAUCUAGGUAUGUAAAGCUCUAUUAGCAGGGAAGAAAAUGACGGUACCUGACUAAGAAGCGCCGGCUAACUACGUGCCAGCAGCCGCGGUAACACGUAGGGUGGAAGCGUUAUCCGGAUUUACUGGGGGUAAAGGGAGCGUAGACGGUAGAGCAAGGCUGAAGUGAAAGCUCGGGGCUCAACAGCGGGACUGCUUUGGAAACUGUUGAACUGGAGUGCUGGAGAGGUAGGCGGAAUGCCUGGUGUAGCGGUGAAAUGCGUAGAUAUUAGGCGGAACACCAGUGGCGAAGGCAGCUUACUGGCCAGUAACUGACGUUGAGGCUCGAAAGCGUGGGGAGCAAACAGGAUUAGAUACCCGUGUAGUC
rnacentral:rRNA from 1 species